rnacentral:lncRNA from 1 species
UUGUAAUCCAUGAUCGAUUUUUUUGUUUUUUUUUUUUUUGUAACCCAUGAUAGAAUUUUUUGUAAUCCAUGAUCGAAUGUUUUGUAAUACAUGAUCGAAAUGUUUGUUUUUUUUUGUAAUCCAUGAUCGAAAUGUUUGUUUGUUUUUUUUUAAUCCAUGAUUGAAUUUUUUGUUUUUUGCUUUUUUUGUAACCCAUGAUAGAGUUUUUUGUAAUCCAUGAUUGAAUUUUUUGUAAUCCAUGAUCGAACUAUUUUUUUCUUUUUUUGUAAUCCACGAUUGAAUUUUUUGUUUUUUUUGUUUGUUUUUUUUUGUAAUCCAUGAUCGAAUGUUAUGUAAUCCAUGAUUGAAUUUUAUGUAAUCCAUGAUCGAAUUUUAUGUAAUCCAUGAUUGAAUUUUUUGAAAAUUUGUGAUUUUUUUUGUUUAAUCCAUGAUCGAAUUUUUUUUUGUAAUCCAUGAUAGAAUUUUUUGAAAAUUUGUGAUUUUUUUUUUAAUCCAUGAUCGAUUUUUUUGAAAAUUUGUUUUUUUUUUUUU